rnacentral:rRNA from 1 species
AUGACCUUGAGGUUAAGAAUCAGGCCCUACUCGGUAAAAUGGUGGUUUAAAUUACUGAGGGAAGAUGGUGUAUGGCAAACCCUCCUCAGGCGGAAAUAUGUGGGCUCCAAGGCGGUAUCGCAAGUACACUAGAAGCCUGGGGAUUCUCACUUUUGGGCUGGUCUAAUGGCUACGAAAAAAUAUUUCUUCUGCUAUGAGUGUUUCUCGAUUAAGGACAACUCGAAAAUUAGAAUCUGGGAGGAUAAGUGGCUAGGAAAUGCCACUCUUCGGGAACAAUAUCAGGCUCUACACAAUAUUGUGCGUCACAAGGGUGAUACUAUCGCCACGGUAAUGGAAUCAUUUCCGCCAAAUGUGAGGUUCAGAAAGGAUUUAAUUGGACCCAGACUACAAUCGUGGAACAUCCUGCUUCAGCUGUUAUCCAUGGUGCAAUUGUCACAUGUGUCCGUUGUAUUCCGAUGGAACCUACAUGAGAAUGGACAAUUCUCAGUGAAGUUUGUGUAUAGAGCGUUAGUUCAGUCUGAUGUGUAUCAGUUGAUAAUAAUAACAAGAUCUGGAGGAUGA